GUGUCUUAAUUUCAUUGUGCGACUAGUCGCACAAUACAUUUGCCCAAAGUUCGUCAAAAUGUGUCUUGUGCAACUUUAAACCUAUCUGGAGAAGUCGCACAACGUUUUUGUCCAAAGUGUGUCCAAAGGAUGUCCAUGUAAAACUGUCUAUGCGAUGGACGAGACCGUAACUUUUAUUUUUGCAAGUGUCUGUGAAAGUUUGAGCGUCUAUAUUUGAGGCAAUCAGAAGCCUGUUUAUAAAAAAAACGAGCCAAUGAACACCAGGCUUUCUAAUCGACGCAUGCGCGUGCACCCGCUUGUUGGACAUGUGCAGUGGGACUGUCAAACGUUGUUUAUCAUAAUGGAUAGCGGAUUUAUAUUUUAUAGAACCAUAUGUGAGUGGCUUUACAGAAACAACCAAAGAACUUGGAGACCUUCUUAAAUGAUGUAGAGUUUGCACUGAAGGAGGGGUUCUUAAAGGAUGUAGGUCAAGAUACAUCACCCACAGCCAGUAAAUAGGUGUGCUCAUCAACAGGUCAAGAUACAUCGCCCACAGCUGGUCAAGAGGUGUGCUCAUCGGUAGGUCAAGAUACAUCACCCCCAGCUAGUCAAGAUGUUUGGCCAUCAGCACAUCAAGAUACAUCCCCUACAGCCAGUCAAGAGUUUUGCUCAUCAGAACGUCAAGAUACAUCACACACAGCCAGUCAGGAGGUGAACCUUAGGAAAUACACUGCAACA